ensembl:lncRNA
CUCAUGCUGGUAGCAUGUCUCCUCCUUGCUCUCAUCAUGCGCGGGCUCAUAAUUACAAGCCAACUAAAAACUAUUAUGCUGCAUUGCCUCCCUUUGCUCGGCCCGCGCUGCACUUAAUUAUACUCCGGCCGGUAAAGCAAAUGUAAAUUUGACAGCGACACAAGUGGAAUGAACUUUAACUUUGACGUGAAAAAAGUAGCAAGAGAGAAUAUUCACGUCGCAGUAACUUCCCUUUUAACCCUCUUCAGCCACUGUGCAAAUCAGUGUAAAUCAGCCGCGUACACACACUUGACGGCCACGUGAGCUGUGGGAAUGACACUAAUUAACAGGCUUCCACAGGGUCAUAUAUAGUGUGGUGACUAGAAAAGGGGAAUAAAUUAUAAGAGUAGUCUGCAAUUGCCCUCAAAGACUAGACUACUUAUUACUAUUAUAAGAACGUUGCCAACAGCUACAAGUAAAUUGGAAAUGAGCUGAAAAACAGCCCUGGUGCAAUAACCUGGUGACACUGACAUAAAGAAAGCGCUGUGAACAGCCUUCAAUGCAGCUGCUCUUAAAUGCCACAAAUGACUGAAUAAUAAACACAGUGUGUGUCACAGAUUAUAUAUGUUGCACAUACAUCAUGAGGGUCCGUGUUGUUAAGGGCUGCUGCUGACAUGGAUUAUUCACAGAUUCCUGGGGAAUUCUUGUUAGACAUAAAAGGCGCCCAAGGUCUCGGUAGAGAAAAACAUGUUAUCAGGUGUUUGAAUGGUUCAGAGGGGAAAAAAGGCUGAUUAAUUAAUAAUGAAUUAAAGGUAAACGCGUCACGAGGAGCGUCUGCGCCGCGCAUUGAUAAGCUGCGCCGCACAAAGCGCCGCGCUCUAAUCCUCAGACUUUAGUCCUGGCAAAUCCAUUUUGCUCUGUUUACCUCCAGGAUGAAGUCGUUGGAAAUGCGCCGUAAUGCAUACAGGACGAGCGGACGCGCGGCUCGUGCUGCUUUCUGCCGAGGAAACCAAGGACCGGAGGUGCAGUAGCUGCAGAAACAAACCAGAAGUUGUGAGUCUUGAAGGUCUGGUCACGCUGAGAGGAAACGCACGAGCAGCUUCUCACAAACUUCUCCGUCAAAAACAAUCUGUUGUUUAGGAAUUUCAUCAUAACCUCCUAAAAAGCAAAAGCAUGAAUCCAUUUUAAUGAAGCUCAUCACAUUCUGCUAUGAAUGAACCAAAGUACAGAUCCAAACGUUUAGUUCAGUCUUUUUCUGCCAAAGGUCCAUUUUACUCUAAACUAUGACUCGUCUAAUUUGCUGCAUUCCCUUUGACAUUCAGACCUUUUCUCACCCUCUUCAGGUGGAGGUUUCUUUUUAUAGCUCAUCCGCUGCUCCCUGCCUUCAGGUUUGAACCCGCGGUGUUUUCCUGACGCGUGAAAGCGAUGCUUGUGAUGUGCGGCGGUCACGGGGCAAAGGCGAGCGGCUCCGAGGGAAGGUUCUGAGCAAGUGGGUCAAAAGCAGCCGACUCCGGCGCCUCGGCCGCGCUGAAGCAGCGACCUCCAUCAGGGGUCAGAUCCAGACUCCAGACAGCGAGCGCUGAUAGAUUAGGACCACGGCAGCUCAGAAAGUUUCCACGACUCCAAGAAGGUGCCACUCAUUUAGUCUGAGAGUCAGGUUUCACACGUAGUAACGUGUUAAAUAUAAUAAGGCAAAGAAACGAAAAUCAGUGUAAGCUUCUAGCAGAGAUGAAGGUUGUCUGUGUUUCAAGGUGAGAAAAAUACAUCCACCAGCUCCUUUAAAGCCUUUUAAAUAAUACAUCCACUUUCAGUUCAUUAAUCUGCACUAAAGCUGAAUCCAAUUUCAGCCAAUUUGCUGCUUUAUGGAGAUUAUAUGCCAGACUAGUUAUGUGGCUGCGAGCAGCAACUUACUGGAGUCUCAACGUAUUGUAGCGUUUGAACGCGACUUCGCUCAGACGCGGGAAACGAAGAACAAUGUGUUCGUUACUGAGCCUUAAAGGAGCCGAGAGGUGAACGCUCUGAAACGGCAAAGGCCGACCUCUGUCUGCGCUGCUUUCCAGUUAAUGCUAACCUGAGCUAACUGGCUGCAUGUGCAUCGCAGGCGCCGCCAGAAGCAGGAAAAAGCACAUUUCCACAACUA